rnacentral:lncRNA from 1 species
CGUACUCACGGUGCACGCUCUUGCAUCUGUUAAUAUUCGAUGAAUAGUUUGAAGAUAAAUAAAGAACAAAACUAUGCGACGUGAAGGCUCAAAAAUUGAAAAAUGCUCACAAUUCUCCUGCACUUUUUCUGGAGGAGUGAGAGGCUGGCUGUGGAGUUGCGACAAGAACCAGCUAUAUCAUGGUCAGCAGAGUAGCCUGAUAUACGGAUAAACAGGAGGGUGGAUUGCGCCAGGAAAGCCAUCCUUCAUAAGCGCACAACAUAAAACAGACCACUCUGAGGACUUUCUCGUGCAAGCUAAUAGCAUUCACUUAGCAUAUUGA